AUCGAACUGUUUGCCCGGCGGUCGCUCAGUCGCGGNCCGCAGGAAUUUUUGCCGGCGGGCGAGGACGGGUUCCUGUGUUGCGUACCCACGAAGCGGAAUUCUUUUAAAGUUGCCGAACGUUGAAUUCUUCUCGUGCCUCCCGUAGGCACGCGGAGAACCGCGAAGCGCGUCCCGUGUCCCUCGCAUGUCGAAUCGUCUGCGUCGGCACACGGGAGCGCGCUCGUGCUCUCGGAUGCGGAACGCCGCGCGAGCGGAGGGAUUAAGUUUCCUCGUUGAGCUCGUAGUCCCUAGAACCGAAAACGACCGGCCCGCCGCCCGUGUCGCGUCCUCGGGGGGUCCCCC
rnacentral:misc_RNA from 1 species